AUUGAACGCUGGCGGCAUGCCUUACACAUGCAAGUCGAACGGUAACAGGUCUUCGGAUGCUGACGAGUGGCGAACGGGUGAGUAAUAUAUCGGAACGUGCCCAGUAGUGGGGGAUAGCCCGGCGAAAGCCGGAUUAAUACCGCAUACGACCUGAGGGUGAAAGGGGGGGAUUCGCAAGAACCUCUCGCUAUUGGAGCGGCCGACAUCAGAUUAGGUAGUUGGUGGGGUAAAGGCCUACCAAGCCUGCGAUCUGUAGUUGGUCUGAGAGGACGACCAGCCACACUGGGACUGAGACACGGCCCAGACUCCUACGGGAGGCAGCAGUGGGGAAUUUUGGACAAUGGGCGCAAGCCUGAUCCAGCAAUGCCGCGUGCAGGAAGAAGGCCUUCGGGUUGUAAACCGCUUUUGUCAGGGAAGAAAUCCUCUGGGUUAAUACCUCGGGGGGAUGACGGUACCUGAAGAAUAAGCACCGGCUAACUACGUGCCAGCAGCCGCAGUAACAC
rnacentral:rRNA from 1 species